rnacentral:rRNA from 1 species
ACUUAGUGGCAGACGGGUGAGUAACAUGUAGGUAUCUACCCUUUGGCCUGGAAUAACACGAGGAAACUUGUGCUAAUACCGGAUAAGUCUUUACGGAGAAAGCUUUAUGCACCAUUGGAUGAGCCUGCACUUGAUUAGUUUGUUGGUGGGGUAAUGGCCUACCAAGACUGUGAUCAAUAGCUGAUUUGAGAGGAUGAUCAGCCACAUUGGGACUGAGACACGGCCCAAACUCCUACGGGAGGCAGCAGUGGGGAAUCUUGCACAAUGGAGGAAACUCUGAUGCAGCGAUGCCGCGUGAGUGAAGAAGGCCCUUGGGUUGUAAAGCUCUUUCGUCGGGGAAGAAAGUGACUGUACCCGAAUAAGAAGGUCCGGCUAACUUCGUGCCAGCAGCCGCGGUAAUACGAAGGGACCUAGCGUAGUUCGGAAUUACUGGGCUUAAAGAGUUCGUAGGUGGUUGAAAAAGUUGGUGGUGAAAUCCCAGAGCUUAACUCUGGAACUGCCAUCAAAACUUUUCAGCUAGAGUAUGAUAGAGGAAAGCAGAAUUUCUAGUGUAGAGGUGAAAUUCGUAGAUAUUAGAAAGAAUACCAACUGCGAAGGCAGCUUUCUGGAUCAUUACUGACACUGAGGAACGAAAGCAUGGGUAGCGAAGAGGAUUAGAUACCCUCGUAGUCCAUGCCGUAAACGAUGUGUGUUAGACGUU